rnacentral:rRNA from 1 species
ACACCAGGGCCACGAGUGGGGACCACAAUUAUUGGGCCUAAAGCGUUCGUAGCUGGCUUUGUAAAUCUUCUGUGAAAUUGUCAUGCUCAACAUGUCAGCGUGCAGAAGACACUACAAAGCUUGAGACCGGGAGGAGUUAGAGGUAUUUCUAGGGUAGCGGUAAAAUGCUAUAAUCCUAGGAGGACCACCUGUGGCGAAGGCGUCUAACUAGAACGGGUCUGACAGUGAGGAACGAAAGCCAGGGGAGCGAACCGGAUUAGAAACCCGAGUAGUCC